UGCAUCGGCCGGGAAUCGAACCCGGGCCACCCGCGUGGCAGGCGAGCAUUCUACCACUGAACCUCCAAUGC
rnacentral:tRNA from 1 species